rnacentral:rRNA from 14 species
CCAUCGCAGUGCUCUUAAACAAGUGUUGCUGUGGGCCGAUACAAAUUACUUUGAACAAAUUAGAGUGCUUAAAGCAGGCUUGUAAUGCCUGAAUAUUUUGUGCAUGGAAUAAUGAAA